CAAGACAUAGAAUAGGACAAAAUAUAGAAUAGGACAAAAUAUAAGCGCUAAAAUGGAAGAAAGGUUACGUGAAGAGAAAUUCAAAGCUAUGAAACUGCCAGAAUUAAAAAGUUACCUGCAGAGUAGAGGUAUAACCGCAUAUCCUUGUUCUGGACUCUUUAACUUGGGAUAAAGAAGACAAGAAAUCUACAUUUGAAUAUAUUUCACAAUAUUUGGACUACACCUUUCAAAAGCACAGCAUCAAAAGAAAGCAUCGUUCUCAUCAUAUGUCAAAGAUAUUGAAAAAUAUGAGAAAUAUCCCAAUGAUUUCAUUCUCAUGGAACAUAAAUGGUUCAGUAACAAGGAUGCCACAAUGGAAAGAAAUAAAUGGCACAGAACUUUGCACACAUUGUUUACUCUGCAUUGAUCUAAGCGCACCUCUUCGUCGUAACCAUUGUUAUAAAAUUACUCCGCCACGUAUCGUUAUUAUUAUUGCAUUAUAUUUAAUCAUACGAGUUUACAUUGAAUUUUGCUAUGCUCUAUUCA